rfam:Sphingomonas koreensis strain ABOJV, complete genome.
GGAGACGUGGGUGAGUGGCUGAAACCAACGCUUUGCUAAAGCGUCGUACGGGGAACCGUACCGAGGGUUCGAAUCCCUCCGUCUCCG